GCCCCCCGCCCACGCCGCGCCGCUGGCCGCCCUCUUCCAGCACCCGCUGUACCGCGCCGCCCUGCCCCCGCUGGCCGACGGCGACCUCCUCUUCAAUGUCAACAGCGACAUCAGGUUCAACCCGCGGGCGGCCGAGCAGAGCGAGUGGCAUAAUGAAGGGAACGAAGAGUUUUUGCCAACUGGAGAAACCUCCAUAGACUCCUACCCAAACUGGUUAAAAUUCCACAUUGGCAUCAACCGGUACGAGCUGUAUUCCAGACAUAACCCUGCAAUCGAGGCUUUACUACAAGACCUGGUCUCCCAGAAGAUCACCAGUGUUGCAAUGAAGUCAGGAGGCACCCAACUGAAGCUGAUCAUGACGUUCCAGAAUUAUGGACAAGCAUUGUUCAAACCAAUGAAGUAAGUGAAAUACUGUCUGGCUGUGUUGUGUAGCCUGUUGCCUAUUUCAAAGCCAUUAAAAGUUUGCUCCAGUAUUGCUGGAGGUUGGUGUGGCUGAUUGGCUAGGCUGGCUGCUCAGUUCAGGGCUGUAAGGUGUAUGGUAACCUUGCCCUGCCGGGCUGGGCUUUGGAGGUUACAUUUCAGAUGCAUUUUAGUCUUCUCAGGAGUGUUACUCAUUCUGAUCUCUGUGGAAUCUCGCAUCAUAAAUAUAGGGUGCUUUCAGCAUUUCUUUUUUAUGUAAAUGUAUUCUCCAGGUCUGAGCUUUAUCUAAUGUCAGUUCUCCUCUGGAAUAUGACCACGUGCGGGAGACGGCUCAAAACAGUUUUGGGAAGACCUGAAUAGUAUUUGUCUGAUAAAUUAUAAUUUAAUCCACUGGCUGUUUGUAUUGAAGAGCUGAGUUAGUCAUUUGGCUGUGGCAGUGCUGACUGUGAAAUGUGCUCAUUUGAGAGUGGUGCUGCAAGGUAAUAGAUCUGGAGAGAAGGGGAAGGGCUGGGAUGAGGCAUCGAUGAUUUGCACCUGCAUCAGGCUGGCCAGAUCCCACUGAGAUCACAGAGGUUAUUCAGACAUAAAGGAGAUGUAAAAGAGUUCCAAACCCUGACCUCUGUGUUUGUGUUGUAAUAAGGAAACUGACUCUGUGCUUGUUGUAGAUGGCUUAGCAAAGACUCUCGGUGUUGCAAAAUGUUUAAUGAAGCUACUCAAUAUCUGUGUCAAGGGUACCACUGGAGUAAUAAAUUCAUUUCCUUCUUUUGUUCCCACUGAGGAGAAGAUACAUUAAUUAUCUCUAGGAUGGCCCAUAAAGGAGUAAAGUAACUCAGAAUGAGUGGUUUGGAAUACAUACUGGCAUUGUAUUAUGGCUCUAGUGGGGAACACAGCUCGUGGGGUAAGCUGCUGCCUGGGGCCUGAGAUAAAUUCCCAGUUUUACUACAGAUUUUGCUGUAGACUGACCUCAGACAAGUACAGACUUUACUUGAUCUUAUUUGACUGCCAGAAGGGACGAAUAACUGGUUCCUGCUUCCUUCAACUCAAGCCUGAGCAGGAGCUCACCUUGUGUGCAUUUAUCCUGGGGUUUACAUGGAAAUCCUUUGAGUUUCCAGGCACAAGGAUGUUGUGCAAAAGCAAGAUGCCUCCAUGUUAUUUCCUACAUUACACACAAAUUUCUCCAUGUUUCUGUAGGUCCCUAAUUCAUGGGAAGAGUUCAGAGGAAUCAGAGAUAUCAGAUCAGAGGGAAAGUGCUAUCAGAGAGUAUCUACUCCAAAAUCUUCCCUUUCCCUGCCUCUGCUCUGAAUCCUUAGGUCAUCAGAUCAUCAGUCCAUGGGUCCAACCCCUACAUCUGCAAGUUUGGUGCCUUUAAGCACAAUUCCUAUUUGUUUCUCAUCCUCCAUGGCAAGCCAAUUACUGGGCACAUGUAGGGAGCCUUUAAGAACAAGGAAGAAUCAUGGUUGUGCAGUUGGUUUUUUACACAGGGUGUGAUUUGUUUCUUCUCCAUUUGCUGAGAUGCAGAUAAUUUCAAUCUCUAUCUCUGGUAUGACAUUGUAAUUUUGGGAAUGCUAAUGAGGUUAAAUCAAAAGUUUACUGCUUCUACCCUGCCUUGGCAAGAUGAUGGAUGACAAUAGAUGUAUAGCCACUUUCCUGUACAGAAGCAAUUACUACCAUCCACCGGUACAACAACAAAAGAUGAUGAUGUCUUAAUCAUUCCCUUUGCUUAAUGUGAAGGGCAGCAACAUCUUAUUUUCUCCCUGAUCUUUGCAUUAAAUACACAUCUGGAAAAAGCAGCUUUAGAACAUUCAACAUCUGUGUUCCCAGGCUCCACACCUUACAGCAGUAAUGCUGCUUUAUGUUGAUCAUUGCCAAGCACAUUAGUGAUUUUGAAUAAGAAUGUUUGCAAGCAUUUGUCUUCAUUCUGGUAACAGUGUGCAGGGAGCCAGAUGCUCGCCUAGUGUAAAUCUUCUGAGCUCCUUUGGCAUCUGGUCCCAUUGGCCUCUUUCACCAACUUACAGAAAUGUUUGUAGCAUCAUUUCUUGAUAUGGAAAUAAGCAGCCUAGAACUGAAAACAAGCAAGCAAACAAAAAAGUCAGGUUUUUAAAGCAAUGAGACUUCCUGUAGGACCUUACUGAGCACACAGACUGUUUCUGGUGCUUCUUCUUUUCUGCAGGGCACCCCCCUGAUCCAGGCUUCACACAGCUGACUGUGCCUUCCCAGGGCAGCACACCAGAGGAAACUCAUAAAUCAGGGCCAAACAUCUCCUAAAUAUACUCUUGUCACAGCACUGAUGGUGUAAAGGGCAUUUAAAAAAACAAUUUAAUUAGGGAAGCAUGAAACCUUAUCUUGGUGAUUAUUUCUGAGAUCAGCUGGUCGAUGGAUGGACUUUAGAGUCAGGAGGUACCCAUGUAGUACAUCCUAUAUGUUUCAGUUGUCACUGUGCAGUCAGCUCCGUGGCUUUUCAUAGUAGCAGAAAUUUUGUUUUUCUCUCUCUGGAGCUGAUAAGGCCCUUCAUACAAGCAAUCUUCACAAAUCCCAGGUAAUACACUUGUUAAAUAGCAUGAAGUGCCCAGCUGCAAAUGAAAAAUUGGAGCUUGAGUUCAUCACCUCAGUGCUGUAGAGGAGGCAAUGGGAUACAUCUCAGUACUGAACUGAACUGCGUUACUGAUUUUCAGAGAACAGAACUGGCAUCGGUAUUUCAAGCUUGAUCACAAGGAAAACUGAUAAUCCUGCAUUUCUUAUCCUGUCUGGAAUCUGAAGUUCUGAUAGCUGGAUUGGUGUGAGGUCCACAGAGGGUAAUAUGCAGGGAGGGCCGGUUUGCUUGGUUUUGAUUUGUUUGAACUACCUGAAAAGCUGGUUUUGCUACAUAUAGCUGCACUUGGCAUCCCCUGAACUGAGCUAAUGCCUUUUUGAGGAGGAUACCUGCACAGCAAGGAGACAUGGGAACCCUUCCCUAUCACAGCCAGGUAUCUGCUCGUGAAAGGAGAAGUCUCCAUCCUUCAGCAAUGCUUUCUGUAGGAGAGUCACAGCAAAAUGUCCUCCCUGGGAAGCCUCUUGGAACGUGCAGAACUCGUAGGACUUGUUCUGCCCUGUCCCAACCUCCUAAUUCCACAUUGCAUUCAUCCAGAGAGCAAGCCAGCUCUGGAAACAGCCAGGAGGGCUUUGGAAAUGGGGGAAGCAGAAUCUGCCUUUGGCACUUCUGUGCUCAGUACUUGGUGUUAACUGACAGCUCUUCAUCUGGUCAUUGAUUCAGGGUAGUGGAGCAGAUGAGAGGCGGGGAGCUUAGCAGUCAGGGAAAUGUGAUAGUGGCAAAUAAAGCCCCAUCAGCUGCAAUUAUUUUAUUUAUCUGUGGCUCUGCAUCUUCACUGCUGAAAUAAUUGCUCAUAAAGGAUUGCAGAGGAAGCCAAAUCUAUUUAUAAAACCUAUGGCCCACUGUAGAUCCCUUUGCUAGUUCCAAAUACAUCAUAGAAAAAGUGAAUAUUUGCUAAAACUCCAGGGAAGAGUUAAUGUAUUUGCAAUGUAUCAGCUAAUGUGUAGUUUUAUUUAGCUCGUAAUACUUCAAUCAUACAAAAUUAAUACCAUAUGGGACAGGAAAAAAAUAGCAGCCUCCUCUUCUCCCAUGAUUAGCGUGUCUAACUUCAUUAGUAUUGUAGAGCAUAAAAAAAAUUAUGUAUGUGAUCGCUGAUAACUGCAGUCACAGCUUUCUGCAUGACUUAGCAGGUAAGGAUGGUGUAGAGCCAUAAAUUCCAAAGGGUUUUGGCUUAUUUGUCCAAAAAGAACACGUGCUUUAUAUUUUUAUUUGGUUUCCUUUUGUUCCUGUGAGCUGGUGAAGUUAAAUAUCUGGCUCAGCAACAAAGCCAACACACUUUUUUUUUUUUCUUCCCAAUGCUUUAUUCUUGAGGAGGGAGAUCCUGCGCCAGCGGUCAGUGUCAGACUCCUCUCAGUGCCAGGAUUUUGAGAGAGGCUUUUACAGUUCCUUAUGGAGAAGCCAAAUAGAAUUUAAAAAAAAAUGGUAUCUUGUGAUAGGAAUUGUGAGCAAAGUGUCAGACAGUCUGUGUUUAACAAUGGCAUUUCUCAUUGCCAGUUUUAUAGGCUGCUUUGUACGAACAUGUAGGAAUGGUAUUCAUUAGGAAAUCCUUGAGGUUCAUUUGUUCUGUUGAAGAAAUACUACUGUAUCUUGUGAAUCCACUUUUGACUAUAAGAGGUUAAAAUCAAUUCUGUUCCAAGUUCAGAAGUUGCCUGAUAUUUUUAACAUCUUUUUCCUUUUCUCCUCCUGUUUUCACAAGUCCUAAUGUAGGAUUGGUGAGAGCCACGUGGCUGCUUCUCCCAGUAACUGCUGCUCGCAGUUACAAUCUUUAAUAAAGCAGAACUAAUUAGCAUCAGGGUGAUAUCAGGCCAGAAGAGACUUUUAGGGUCAUGAAGUCCAAGUUCCUUGAAUCACAGGCAAUCAUCUCAUGAAAUCUCAUUCAUAAACAGAUCCAACCCUGCUGACCCUGUGUUUGUACCCUUUGUCCCUUCCGCUCCUCCUGAAACCCACUGCUGUGGUGUCUUUUGUGUUUUGCAUUAAUUGCAAUUUAACAGUUUAAUCACAUAAGUUUGUUUUUGUGACUUUGUAGAAGAAAUGCUUCACGCUGACACUUUUUUUUGCUGGAGUGUCAGCUGGCAGGGUGCAACUUUCAGCAUGGACAAAUCCCCAGUCCCCAGAGGCAGCACCCUUCUUAGUGCCAGCUGCAAGAUAAGUAGUCAGCAUGUACAAAGGUGCUGCUUUAUAGAAACAAACCCAGCAUGCUCGCCUUCUAGCUUCUGUAAUGUUCCUAUAGCUCAAAGACAUAGGCACUGUUAGCUGGGUUGAAAUCUAUCAGCCAAGGUCAUGGGAAAGAUAAUAUAUGUGCUUCGAUUGGCAAAGCACCACUUUUUAUUGACUUUUAAAUGUCAUACUUAUAAAGACAAAGGAUUAACAGCCUUCUUGAAGUUUCUCUUUGAUUUCCUUUUAGGAGUACUCAACAAAUAAUGCAUCUUUUGAUAGGGUUAUUAAAUAGGGCAAACAACCCCCAUGAUACAAACAACUGUUAAUUGUCUUCAUUUCCUACAGUUAUAUCCCCUUCUCGAAGCUGCAGUGUAACUGCUGUACCUGUGAAAAGCAGCCUCUAGGCCUGAUCAUCAUACCAAUUAGCUCAGCGUAAUUCUUACAACUUAGUCAAGUCAUAAGUCAAGACACAGUUCAAGUCAGAGGAGUCGAAAUGAACUUAGCAUCGGGGUGGCUGGAAGAUUGCUUUCCUUAUUACAUUGCAUAUCAUGCUGUUUUGAGGAAAUACAUUUCACAAACCUGUUGCAUUUCAGCUGGCAGGCAUCCAGUAUAAACAUGCUGUUAUAAGUCAACGUGGCAAUUAAAUCAAAUUGCAAUGUUUUCUCUGAGCUGCUACAGAAGUGAGAUAUGCAUACAGUAGCUGCUACUCUAGAAGCUUUCCAGGAUUAACACUUGGACAGGCUGGAAUGUGCUGUGUGAAAUCCAGCAGAGCAGUCGCUGGUCAAAGUGCAAACCCAGCCAUUGGGUUUUGCUGCUCCGUUUUGUUGCUGAGCUGUGUUACUGUGCUGCUCCCCUAAGGACUCUCUUUAGGCACAAGGUGGGUUGCUGGAGACCCAAGGAUGAAUGAGCUGGUUGGGAAGGCUGGGGUUAGUAAUCCCAGUAUUCAGCUUGUGUAAGUGCAUUUUAAAACCAAGAGAAGUGCUGUUUUGUAACAUCGUGGAGAAGAAAUGCUUUUUUUUUUUUUGCUGCUGGAAGUGCCAAACCAUCAUCAGAUAUUCUGUGGACCUCAUUCAUGAGACAUUUGUCUUUAUAAAGAUAUAUUCAAAUCCUUACCUACCAAUUCCCUGAUGAAAUAUUUACCUCACUCAGAUUGACAGGCAGAUUCUGCUUCCAUUUACCUCAGGAAUGAGCCUGGAGUAAGCUAGAUGAAUUGUAUCGCUUGAUAUUUGAGUUGUGUGAGAUCUGAAUGUGGGACUUAAUGAAGACAGUAGAGGUUGCCAUGUAGUAUUUCGAUUCUUCAACGUGUUGUGUAUUAUGCAUGAAUUGUUUUUCUCUUUUCUAGCUAAUCCUGUUCACCAAACCAUCCUGCAAUAUCUCAGUGCAAAUUGUACGUUAGCACUCAGCAGUGCCGGUGGUCCAAAUCUCAUUUAUGCAAAUAGGAAAAUUUGCAAUGACUUCAAGGAGAGUUGGAUGGGGAUUGAUGCUGACUGAUAGCACUGGACAGUAAUGAAACUCAGUCUUCUGUCUGCCAAUGUGCACCGCAUUCCCCCUUGCCACAGUUCAGCAACCGCUGCCUGAAAUACUGAUCAAUCCCAUUCAGCCCAAGAGCAAUCUCUUCUCCAGUUCUGCAAGUGUGUUUAUGAAAUGGCCCCAGAGUCAAAGUCUGCAAAGUCCAGGUAGCUCAAAGGUUGUCUGCUUGGAUUAGGGUCUGUAGGGACCAAUGCCAGAGGCAUUUCACCAGCCAGAAAGAGGAAAACAAACCUCUUUUCCUCUUUUUGGCAGCAGCUCUGUUGUACUGUCCCAUGCCGAGCUGCCCUGUGCUGAAUGGUGUGACCUGGUUCUUCUGGGAGCAGAGCUUCCUCCUGCAAACCAGAACUGUUGUGCAGGAUACCACAACCCAUGGGGUUCUGCCCCAUCAUGUAACAGGGGCAGAGUGCUGAGCAGCCACCUCCUGCCACUGAUGGUGCAUUCUCCAAAAUUCUCCCACCCCUUACGUCCUCUUGGCAUCUUCAACUCCUGGCAGGAGAAGGCUUAGUUCUGCAGCCCCUGGAGGUCUCUGUGACUGGAGAUUUUUGCAUGAAUAAUCCAAGGCUUGCAUUUUUCUUCACCUUGUUUGUUAGGAUUUAUUCUGCAUGUGACAAUACGAUGCUCAAUGUCCAUUUUGGGCUUUUGUCUUGUACACAAAUGGCCACAGUCACAGGCUGUACCUGUCCCUCAUCACCUUUUUAAGAGAGAGCUGGGUGGGCAGUCGUAUUUCAUGGUAAAGUGUCUGCAUGUAUGAAGCCAUUGAUUAGCUUUCUAUCUCAGUGCUUAGAGAAUGUCGCUAAUUAGUCUUUAGGAACAGAGACAUGCUGCUGUAUUUUUUCUUCUUUAACAAUCAGAUAUUGCUGCAGCUAUUUUUUUAUGCAGUGUAUUAGGAAAGAGGCAUUUUCAGUGUCUGAUUUUAAUCAAGCUAUUUCUCCAUUUUAAUUUUCCUCGUACCAAGAAGUGCAGUCCUGCAGAUUUGUCUUUUAAUCAGAGACUCAUUUUUAGUUUCUCGCUUUCCUGUCUAACACAUCUUGCCCUGUGCUGGCAGUACAGAAAAGCAGCAAAUGUUACUGAGGGAAGAGCUGGCAUGAAAUGUAUAACCUGUGAUUUACUGCAAAGUAACAGGGCUUGGCACAUGGGGGACUCGGUGCCACAGUGAGGUAAUAUGCCCUUAGUAAAUCUAAGCAAAAAGGAUGUAUUGAGAAUGUUUUCAGUGGGAUAUGCAGAUAAUGCUACCCUGAAAUAUUUCAUGGGAAUUUUUCUCCAUUGCUCUGCAAUUUAUAGUCCUUAAACUAGGCUCAAGAGACCAAAAUUCAGGAAGGGAAAAUGAUUUGUGCAGGAGUUGUGGCAUAAACCAGAGGCUGAAGUCAUUGGGAUAUGCAGUGUUUUAUCUCCAGAGCUGCGCGCACAGGUUUGUCCUGGCAACGAGUAGUGUUGUGCUCAUCUCCUCCCUUGGGAGGAGUAGAUCUGGGAGGUAUUUAUGGAGCAGCAUCGUUGCUCCCUGUGGUCCAGGCAUCCCAACCACUUGGAGGACACAGGUGGGGAUUUAGCCACUGCUGCUGAGACUGGAAAUUCAUUUGCUCUUCUAACAGUCACCUUGUUGCAGCCCUCAGCAUUUCUGCACAUACCUCGUGUUGGGGCCGGCUCCCUGCAAACAUCUGUGGGAAGGGGCAGGAAAUAAGCAGCAGUGAAUUGAGUUUGAUGAACCAGCUUUAGUACCUGAGGCUCUGCACUGAGCUUUGCCACAGGGCAGCAGUUCAGGGCCCAUGGUCAGUGACAAGGUGACAGUGCGGUGAUCCUGGGAGAGACCUGCAGCUGAAGUGACCUGUCUAGCAAAGUGAGACAGGGAAGCUUUGGUGAACUGAGAUGCUGAAGAGAAAGAGCACUGAGUACAUCCAGAUUAUGCCACUGGCAUGGUGCUGUUGGUGACUCACUGCUGUAAACAAACAAUGUAUGUUUAAAAUAGCCCUAAUAGCUGCUAAUAACACAGCUUUAGGACAUGCUGGGCACUUCCAGUUGUUGGUUGUUUUUUUAUUUUAUUUUCAUUUUCAGUGUCUGGUUCAAUAGUCUUAGUACUUAUUCUUUCUAACUUAACAUUUUCUACCCUGCUGUAAUGUUCUGCAUGUGGGCAAAUGAAAGUGAGAAAGCCCGAAAGAUUAAUUUACAUGUGAAGAAAUAGCAGAAACACAGAGUAAAUAGCAUCUGCAAACGUGUGGGAGCAGGGGAGCAGGGAGGACAGCAAAACUGUUGUAAAUAGAAGCAAUUUAAAGAGCUGCAUUAUGCGCUGCGGAUAACAAAACACCCCACCCGGCACUUAAACCAGAUCCUUCUCAGCAGCAGAGUCCAGCUGAUCCUGUUAGCAUUUCAAGCCCCUUCUGUAAACCUUGCUCAUGGGAGGUCUGAGUCCUGCAUGCAGGGCUGCUCACCAGGCCAAAGAACGAGCAGUGCCAUGGCUGUGCGUGGGGAUUGCUCAGGGCAGCAACGCCACAGACUGCAGUCAGUCUAUGGAUUUUGAGCUGCUGUAAUGUGUUGGCAUGAAGGCAGUAAAGGAGAUGUUGUUGAAUUAAUUUGUAGGUUUAGGGAAGAUACAGCUAUUUUGAUUCUUAUUGUUUUUAGUUUUUGGGGUAACCUAUUUGUAUUUUGUUUGGUUCUAUCUUGUGAUGCACAAGAAGAGCUUUCCUACUUUCCUACCUGGCCUGUUUGUAUUUCUCUGUAUUUUGUGUCUGCCUGAAUCGCCGCAAUAUGACAAUCUGUGCAAAAUUUUCAAACAAGACUCUUUUGCAUCCAAUUCUUCAGGGAUUUAUGAAGCAGAAAAUCUGAUUCCCGGGGCCUAAAACCCAGAGGUUUUUCAGCCUUUCAUGUUGCAAGCCCAGGUUUUGUGCAGGGAGGAGGGGAACACGAUGCUGCCGGCUCUGCCUCCUGGGGCUGCUGAUGGCAGAUGCAGCUUAAAGCAAAAUUCUGUUUUCUCUGCAUAAGAUUGAGAUGUGGGUCCUGGCUGGGACCCCAGAUUGAUGCUGACAUAAGGAUAUGGCACAUCCAGGAGGGCUCGUGCCAGCCCAGGGCAAGGUGGUUGUCCUUUACCACAUGGUCCCGACAUCUCCCUGCAUCCACACCAGCAGCCAACCUAACAUUUCAGGUCUCCAACACCAGCAAAAGAGACUGCCAAAAGAGAGGAGAGCUUCCCUUCCUCAUUGUCUGCCUAAUUACCCUGUUCUCCGAGCCAGCUCCAAGUUAAAGCCAUCUAUUUUUGCAGCCUCCUGGCCUCAGAUACAGGAGCUGGGUGACUGGGAGUUUAGCCCAAAUCGAGCCCUUUUUGCUCUGCCUGACCUACUUGUCACUGCCCGCAGCAGCCGCAGAGUUCUGCUCCUCUCUCUUCUUUGCUUCACAGUCAGCCAUUCAGACUGCCUACUGCAUCACGGCGCCUUGAAGUCGUUCCACUGUGCCUUGGGUGUUUUAGGACAGAAGUUGCAUUUUAUAUGCUUCUGUAGCACUCGAGGUACCAACACUGCCCAAAGCACUAGUAAAGCCUCCGUUGUUUUGCUACAGCCGUGCAGGGCAGCAUCAACCCGCAGUGUGUGUCUCCAGGAGGUGUGAGGCCGCUGGGGCUCCCGGUCUGUUGGCACUCAGCGAGGCCACGUGGAAAAGCAGGGUUUUGCAGCAUAUCCAGGCCACCUAUUCAAACCCAGGCUCUUUUGGCACCCGUGAAAUUGUCUGACAACUUGCAGGCGGGCGCUGUGCCACGCGAGCAGAUGGGCAUGGACAGCCUGGCAGCCAAGAGCCCAGGAUGUUCAUCUGGCAGAGGGGAGGCAGGGCAGAGCUCCUCGGCCAAAUGCCAGUCCUGUGAAGUCACCGAGGGAAAAGCUGUCGUGAUGGUGGGGCUCUGGUUGGGGUGUGGGGUGUUUUGCAGCAGGGUGAUGCCCCCACAGCUCCAUCCAGCACCAGUAACACGGGGCUGCUGAUGUGGUGGGUUCGAGCAGUCUUGAUUCAAGGAUGCUGAAGCGAAGAGAGGCUGCGGUGUUGUUCUCAGUUCAGCAAGUCUUUCUGCGGGGAAUACUGUUAUUAUUCACGGCUGUAAAGUGUCUCCAGAUCCACUUAAUUCCGGUUAAUUUUCUGAGGCAGAAAGAGAGAGAGAGAGCUGCCCCUGCACACCGAGGUGCUGCCCAUGCUCUGACGGGGCAGGUGGGAGCCCAGAGCCCAUCCUGGGCAGGAGGUGGCAGUGGAGCAGCCAUCCUGCAGCUCGCACUCCCUGCAGCACAGGGCUGUUCCCGGCCGUUGGCUGACAUGGCGCUGCUGUGUGCUCCUGAGCGCCUGGUAGGCCGCAGUGCUGCAGGUGCUGGGCCCGCUCUGUGAGGCGGCUGCUGCUGAGGGCUGCCUCCCACCACCAGCGAUCCAUCAGGUCACAGGAUUGCCACGUCCCCCGUGGGGCACAAGGAAUGCUUAAGAGGGCUUUCUUUAGAGCAUAACUCCAGGGAAGGCCUUAAUGCUUACUGCCCUCACGCAGGCAAGCAUUCCACGGUGAUUGACAGGUCAUUAAUUAACUGUUAUUAAUUAACUCCCUCAUCUGAAGGAAGAGAGAUAGAGAGGAGCUCCUCCCAGGCCUGGGUUCCAUCUCCCUGUGAGCACAGCCUGCCGUUCCGCAGCACCCACAGCCCUCUGCCUUGGGGCUGAAGGAGCUCAUAGGCACGGCAGGAGGAGUGACCCCGCUUUCACUGCCCCUCCUUGAACCACCCUUAUUUCCUGACUGCCACAGUUCAAACCGUCUGCAUGGUCUGCAGGAGCGAGACUGUUUCUAUCUAUUCCUCUGAAUGUAGAGGAGGAGAAAGGUGUAGAAAUAAAUCUGUUGUUGCCUUUGAGCAUCUCCUUGUUGCCUGCUGUGUAAGGUGGGAAGGGUUCAGGCUCUGUGUACAGUACAGCCCAGCUGUGCUGGUGGAUGGUUACAUACCUCCUUUAAGGCUCGCCAUCGUACAGAAGGUUUCAAACCGAAAUUAGGACAGAAAAAACAUUACUUCUCCUCCAGGUUAGCUGCAGUGUGGUGACCUUCCCUCUGUCUGCCAUAGCACCAGCUGUGCUGAGAUCGGAGUCCUGCUGCAGCCAGAGCUGUACGAGGGGCCAGUGUCCCUCCUGCUGACUUCAGCUGGACUUUGCUUGUGUCCUUGAAGAUGUUAUUUUGCUCUGAUCAUUCUGAGCCAGCCCAUAUCUUCCGCCAGUUGUGCCUCUAACAACAUAUGUCAGGCGAUGGGAUGGCAAUUGCUUUAUUUAACUGCAUUCACCUUUCAAGGAACAACAGUGUGGCAAAUCUGUGGACUGCAUGUGGCCUAAGAGAAGGAGCCGUCCUGUUUAUCCACAGACAUCAGAGCCUUCACGAGUUCUUGGGGCAAUGCCAGUCUUGAUAAGACAUCAGUGGUGCAGACAAGCUGGUAGCUAUCACCUCUGAUGGGCAUUUUGCUGAUGGUUGUGUGAAGUUUUGUGUCUAAUAUUGGACCAUUUGGAAAUGCUCCAUGGUCCCUCUUAUCUAACUGUGCUCUUAUGAGAUUAUUGGUUUCUCUUUUCUCUCCCUUCUCCUAAAAAUUCACGGUAAAAAGUGGGAUUGCACUGUAUUGAACCGCAUGAUAUUGCACCAAUUCCUUAUUGCAGUAUGUGAUGGAUUUUAAGAGAUAACAUUCUUCCAACUGUUUUGGCAUUACCGAGAACUUUACUAUCUGUGAACAUAAGAAAGGUAUUUUCUAGCUCUCAGCUAUGACUCCAAAGACCCAAAGAAUUACACUCAGCAGCCCUGAGUUUUGAAGCCUGACAUCACUGUGAGCAAGGAAUACAAAUCCAUCAACAGGAGCGGGAUUUUAAUUGCUUUUGAGUGAUUCUAUAGAAAUCUAA